ensembl:snoRNA small nucleolar RNA SNORA14
GAGCAUCCUUUAAAAACCCCCCAGUUGCCGUUUUGGCCUCUGGGACAAGAAAGGGUGCAAGAUUAACCUUAGAAUUAUCCAAAGCUAAGAGUUCUGUGAUGGUAUCUCUUAGCUAUUUCACCUCUAAGACAAAA